CCAGACUCUGGUCCAUUAGCCAGUCCUCCACGACCUCUGGUACACUAGCCCGGUCUACCAGACUCUGGUCCAUUAGCCAGGUCCUACCAGACUCUGGUACCCUAGCCCGGUCCUACCAGACUCU